CGCCCUCGUUUGUCUAAUUAAUUUAGUUGCCAAGAGAGAUUUAUUUUGUAGGAAUUGGCGUUGGACGCACGAAGGGGACUCUUUUCAUGUGAAUUUUGUGCUCUGUGGUUGGAUUCUGCUGUGCCUGGAGCUGUGAAUGAAAUAGGGCUAAUCUUAGUAUUGUUGUGAGGAGAGUUAGGGCAUUUCUACCCCCUAAAAAUAACCGAGUAUCCGGUGAACUGCCGACGGGAGAGAUCUGAGCGGCGAGAGGCGGAGUCAAUACCUGCAUGCGGCGCGGAGGCGUUGCCGGGGCUGUGUGGUCCGGUACCCGGCCAAUCCAUGGCAAGGCGCAGUCGCCGGCGGCCGGAAGCGCCAAAUCCGGCGGCGGUGGCGGCAGCCGCAGAUCUACCGGUUGUGCGCUGGCAACGGGACGAGGAGGCACAGAUCCGGGUGGUCAAGGACCGCGGCGGAGCCUACGGUGGCUGGCGGUGGCCGGCAGGGGGGGGGUGGGAGGGGCGGUGCCAGCGUAGAUGCAGUGCGGGAGUGGGGCAGGGGAGGCAGAGGAGGAGAGGAGAAUUUUUACUCAUCCGCCGAGCGGUGGAGUAAAUAUAGGGAGGCGCGGUGCGGCUGAGGAUAAUUUAUCCUCCACUACCACCGAUUGGGGAUGCCCUUACGGCGGACCUUUGCUUAAACUUGAUGUGGAAAGCAUUUGACGCAAAGCUGUUUAGGCUAUAGCUACUCAAGUGCUAUCUUGAUGAAAUGGGUAAUUAGUUACAAAGAGACUGUUCACUAGAAGAGGUGAAGAGCUUAGUGCGCCAGUUUGAAGAAUAUAAAAUCACCCACUUCAAUAGGGAUCAAAAUAGGGCAGCUCAUGAGUUAGCUCAAUUUUUUUUGAAGAAACACAGGAGAAGUACACAAUUUAUUCAGAAGGGGCGGCUGACAGGCAAACUGUACAAACCGCACCAGAAGGUGCAGGCAAACAAAGAGAAAAAUAAACAAAAAGCGGCAUGAGUUAGCUCAAUUUAGUCUGCGGCUUUCUGUGCUUUCACUUUGGGACCAUGGACUGAGUUUUGUCCAGCUAUUGGAUGCUGAAUGUAAACCUAUCGUGAUGCAAUAGAUCUCACCUUUUCCUCACAAUAAAGAAAGAAAGAAAUAGGGCAAAGCUUUGAUGAAUGUUACCUGACUUAUUUGGUGAUGAAAUAUGAAUCAACUAAUCGAUAAUACUUUGGAUCAUAUUUAUCAGAUUCCCUUAAACCAUUGUCAAACCUCUAUUUCGGUCGAGUGAUCUGGUUCACAGUUGGACCACAAUCUUAUUUCCUAAGGGCUGGAUGAGAAACCAGCUGCUAAUGAACAAAGAAAACCAAGAGAACUAACCGAGAGAGGGAUGCCGUCAUGUCGGAUCUGAUUCCACGUCGCGCUGAAACCAAUGGUCGACGAGUCGUUCUGGGGUAGCAACUCUUGACUAGUUGUGACUAGUCUAGACUCAUGGUCGACUAGUCGACAUGAGGAGCAGCAGCAAGCCAGCAAUCAGGGGAGGAGGGGAGGAGCAGCAACCAGAUCUUCGUGAUGAGGUGCAAAUAUCUUCUUCGUGAACCACAUCUCUGAUUAGUGAGCCGAGGAGGUAUUACCAACCCUGAGGAGCCUACUUGUAUGAAGUGGUGAAUCUCCUCCAAACCUGGAUCAUGGACCCGGCAAAUUGCGAGUCAUGUAUCAUGGUUUGGAUGAUUAUCAAGCAAUCUAAUGAUAGCCUUCUAUUGUCAAUUAGGAGGUUUCUCUUUCAGGAUGUGUUGUGACAAUAUUGUGUCUACCUUUAACUAGUUUACAUCUUGCUAGGACUUCCCAUCACAAAAUUUGACAUUUUGAGCAUUUACUCAGUACCUCGGAUAUCCCUUCUUUGCGUAUUGCAUUUCAGGUAAUGCUAAAUGUCACUAUUUUUUGCGCAUAUAAUGCUCUGAGCAGUUUCGGUUCUUAUAUAUAUGUAGUUGGGAUUUGUCAUUUCUUCGUAGUUGUCGGGAGAUGCUUCUCUAUUAUGUCCCAUAUAUGUUUUCCCUCUUUUCACUAACUCGUACUCCCUCCGUCCCAAAUAAGUGACUCAACUUUGUACUAAAGUUAGUACAAAGUUGAGUCACCUAUUUUGGGACGGAGGGAGUACUAAAUAGCGAGCUAACAAAUCCCCUUCUUUUUGACACCAGACUUUCCAAUCAAAGUGGUUGUAAGACUCAUAAGGAUCUAGUUUACGAAGAUCCCAUUGUAUUCCAGAAGCUCGUAACGUUGGUCCUGAUAAGCCCUAAUUUACUGCCUCUUAUCUGAUAAUAAAACCUACUCCUUCAACUCUCUCUAGAAAAAGGGGAUUCUGUGCAAUACGUUGUUGAUCUUCCAACAAUUCCGCGCAAAAAAUAAUCACAGAAAUCUAAACAUUUAUUGAUCCA